rnacentral:rRNA from 1 species
UACGGAGGGUGCAAGCGUUGUCCGGAUUUAUUGGGUUUAAAGGGUGCGUAGGCGGCCCCAUAAGUCUGCGGUGAAACCCACGGGCUCAACCCGUGGCGUGCCGACGAUACUGUGGGAGCUUGGGUCGUCUCUGGGCGGGCGGAAUGGAAGGUGUAGCGGUGAAAUGCAUAGAUAUCUACCAGAACGCCGAUAGCGAAGGCAGCUCGCUGGGGACGUACCGACGCUGAGGCACGAUAGCGUGGGGAUCAAACAGG